AGCUUGCUUCUUUGAUGACGACCGGCGCACGGGUGCGUAACGCGUAUAGAAUCUACCUUAUACUGAGGGAUAGCCUUUGGAAACGAAGAUUAAUACCUCAUAGUAUGUUUUUAUCGCAUGAUAGAUACAUUAAAGGUUACGGUAUAAGAUGACUAUGCGUUCUAUUAGCUAGAUGGUGUGGUAACGGCACACCAUGGCAACGAUAGAUAGGGGCCCUGAGAGGGGGAUCCCCCACACUGGUACUGAGACACGGACCAGACUCCUACGGGAGGCAGCAGUGAGGAAUAUUGGACAAUGGAGGCAACUCUGAUCCAGCCAUGCCGCGUGCAGGAAGACUGCCCUAUGGGUUGUAAACUGCUUUUAUACAGGAAGAAACCUUUUCACGUGUGAGAAGCUGACGGUACUGUAAGAAUAAGGAUCGGCUAACUCCGUGCCAGCAGCCGCGGUAAUACGGAGGAUCCAAGCGUUAUCCGGAAUCAUUGGGUUUAAAGGGUCCGUAGGUGGAUAAUUAAGUCAGGGGUGAAAGUCUGCAGCUCAACUGUAGAAUUGCCUUUGAUACUGGUUAUCUUGAAUUAUUGUGAAGUAGUUAGAAUAUGUAGUGUAGCGGUGAAAUGCAUAGAUAUUACAUAGAAUACCAAUUGCGAAGGCAGAUUACUAACAAUAUAUUGACACUGAUGGACGAAAGCGUGGGGAGCGAACAGGAUUAGAUACCCUGGUAGUCCACGCCGUAAACGAUGGUCACUAGCUGUUCGGAUUUAUCUGAGUGGCUAAGCGAAAGUGAUAAGUGACCCACCUGGGGAGUACGUUCGCAAGAAUGAAACUCAAAGGAAUUGACGGGGGCCCGC
rnacentral:rRNA from 1 species